CCUACGGGAGGCAGCAGUGGGGAAUAUUGCACAAUGGGGGAAACCCUGAUGCAGCGACGCCGCGUGAGUGAAGAAGUAUUUCGGUAUGUAAAGCUCUAUCAGCAGGGAAGAAAAUGACGGUACCUGAUAAGAAACCCCCGGCGAACUACCUGCCAGCAGCCGCGGUAAUACGUAGGGGCCAGCCGUUUCCCGGAUUUAUUGGGUGUAAGGGAAGCGUGGACGGCAGCACAAGUCUGGAGUGAAAUGCCGGGGCUUAACCCCGGAACUGCUUUGGAAACUGUGCAGCUAGAGUGCAGGAGAGGUAAGUGGAAUUCCUAGUGUAGCGGUGAAAUGCGUAGAUAUUAGGAGGAACACCAGUGGCGAAGGCGGCUUACUGGACUGUAACUGACGUUGAGGCUCGAAAGCGUGGGGAGCAAACAGGAUUAGAUACCCGAGUAGUC
rnacentral:rRNA from 1 species